rnacentral:tRNA from 1 species
UUGGGUAUGGUUCAGUGGUGAAAGCACUUUCCUCACAUGUAUAAGGCCCUGGGUUCAAACCCCAGCACUGAAA